rnacentral:lncRNA from 1 species
ACCACAGUCCUUCACAGCUGCUCCUCUACCCACAUCCAUGGCUGCUGAUAAGUACUCAGAGUCUUUCAAUUCCAUUAAACUCCACAUGCAUGCAAUUAUCAAUUUGAGGAAUGGUGAACUUAUGUGUUGGUUAAACAUAAAAAGGAAUGGAAUAUUGAAUGGGGAAAAAGGAAGUUCUUGUAGUUCUUACCCUUUAAGUUCUGAACAAACAGUAGCUUAGUUCAAAUGACUUCUUCUUCCUAUCUAUCUUGCCUACAGUUUGGGUAAUUGAGAGAGUAAAGUGGUUGCAUGCAAGCUCAAACCUUCAAUUGUUCAUAUUUUGACAAGCUUUCUACUCAUAAGUCUUUGCUUUCAUUCCAAUAUCCAACCCAUUAUUUCCAAAUCCUCCAAUCUCCAUGCUUCAUUCCAUUUUACAGAACAAUAACUCCUUCUUCUACCAUAUAAGUGAAAUUUCGUGGGGAGGCAUGCAUCCAAAGGAUCCUCCAU